rnacentral:rRNA from 1 species
GUGGGGAAUAUUGCACAAUGGGGGAAACCCUGAUGCAGCAACGCCGCGUGGAGGACGAAGGUUUUCGGAUUGUAAACUCCUGUCUUUUGGGACGAUAAUGACGGUACCAAAAGAGGAAGCCACGGCUAACUACGUGCCAGCAGCCGCGGUAAUACGUAGGUGGCGAGCGUUGUCCGGAAUUACUGGGCGUAAAGGGCGCGUAGGCGGCCUAUUAAGUCAGAUGUGAAACCCCCAGGCUCAACCUGGGGAUUGCAUAUGAAACUGGUGGGCUUGAGUGUCGGAGAGGAAAGUGGAAUUCCUAGUGUAGCGGUGAAAUGCGUAGAUAUUAGGAGGAACACCAGUGGCGAAGGCGACUUUCUGGACGAUAACUGACGCUGAGGCGCGAAAGCGUGGGGAGCAAACAGGAUUAGAAACCCUAGUAGUCC